UGAGUAACACGUGGGCRACCUGCCCUGCAGAUCGGGAUAACUCCGGGAAACCGGUGCUAAUACCGAAUAGUUUUUUGCCCCUCCUGGGGSGAAACGGAAAGACGGUUUCGGCUGUCACUGCAGGAUGGGCCCGCGGCGCAUUAGCUAGUUGGUGGGGUAAUGRCCCACCAAGGCGACGAUGCGUAGCCGACCUGAGAGGGUGAUCGGCCACACUGGGASUGAGACACGGCCCAGACUCCUACGGGAGGCAGCAGUAGGGAAUCUUCCGCAAUGGACGCAAGUCUGACGGAGCAACGCCGCGUGAGUGACGAAGGUUUUCGGAUCGUAAAACUCUGUUGUGAGGGAAGAACAAGUACCAASUAACUACUGGUACCUUGACGGUACCUCACCAGAAAGCCACGGCUAACUACGUGCCAGCAGCCGCGGUAAUACGUAGGUGGCAAGCGUUGUCCGGAAKUAUUGGGSGUAAAGCGCGCGCAGGCGGUCCCUUAAGUSUGAUGUGAAAGCCCACGGCUCAACCGUGGAGGGUCAUUGGAAACUGGGGGACUUGAGUGCAGAAGAGGAAAGUGGAAUUCCACGKGUAGCGGUGAAAUGCGUAGAGAUGUGGAGGAACACCAGUGG
rnacentral:rRNA from 1 species